rnacentral:rRNA from 1 species
ACGGAGGAUCCAAGCGUUAUCCGGAUUUAUUGGGUUUAAAGGGUGCGUAGGCGGGUUUUUAAGUCAGUGGUGAAAGUUUGCAGCUCAACUGUAAAAUUGCCAUUGAAACUGAAGACCUUGAGUGUAAAUGAGGUAGGCGGAAUGUGUUGUGUAGCGGUGAAAUGCUUAGAUAUAACACAGAACACCAAUUGCGAAGGCAGCUUACUGGGAUACAACUGACGCUGAGGCACGAAAGCGUGGGGAUCAAACAG